rnacentral:rRNA from 1 species
UACGUAGGUGGCAAGCGUUAUCUGGAUUUAUUGGGCGUAAAGAGAACGCAGGCGGUCUUUUAAGUCUGAUGUGAAAGCCUUCGGCUUAACCGGAGUAGUGCAUUGGAAACUGGGAGACUUGAGUGCAGAAGAGGAGAGUGGAACUCCAUGUGUAGCGGUGAAAUGCGUAGAUAUAUGGAAGAACACCAGUGGCGAAAGCGGCUCUCUGGUCUGUAACUGACGCUGAGGUUCGAAAGCGUGGGUAGCAAACAGG